UUUAUUGAAUCAAAUUAAAUGCUGAAAGGUGAGAUAAGUGCAGUUGCUCUCUUCGCCUCUAGGUGGCAGUGGUGAAACAGCCAGGUGGACCUGAGGCUUUCUGUCAGGGAAAGAAGAGGAAACCAGCCUGGGAAGAGAAUUCCGUUUUGCUUCCCUCCUUUAAGCAACUCUCCCUGUUUCACUGCUGUGUCCUAGGUCCUGAGUGAGGCUCUGGGUAAGCACCGGUGAUUAUAUCAUCUGCAUAAAUCAUUUUGACCCACUCUGGUGAGUGCAUUGAAUGUUGUAGGUAGUUGAUGUGAAAGCACUGAAAAUCAGAACACUAACAAAUCACAGAGUGCUCCUUGAAGGAGGGAACAGGGAGAAGUGAAAGAAAUUGCCUCCUGAAGGCACUUCAACCUGAGCUGGGGAGAAAAGACGCAGGUGUGUGAAAUCCAACAACACAGGGUCGAAGCUGGAGCUCGUGACAGCACUGAGAGAGUGUGGAAAGAAAUGGCUGUUCAUUGUUUGGUUUUGAUGACAGCACUGGUGUCCAGACUGGUCAUUGUGAUCAAAGAGGUGUUGGCAGGAGUUUCUGGGUGCAGCAAGUGGCCUGAGUGAAUAAUAAAGGAGGGCAUAAGGAGGACCAGAAGGCUGAGUGGACCAGUUUGGGCAGGCCAAGGGCCAUAAGGUGGACUUGGAGAUAAAUCUAGAAAAACAUGCUGGGGUCUAGUGAUAGAAGGUUUCUAGGCACAAUCAAGAGGUGACCUUGGAAGAUUGCUUUUUUAGGGAAGGCACAAGGGUAGACAGACUGGUCAAGAGGCUUUUGCAGUACAGAGGUGGUCUGGUAAUGGCCUGAACUUGAGGGUUGGAACGGGGACUGCUUCUUUAUCUUCUGUGUCAUGUGCCUUGCUCUGUACCUGGCAUGUGGUUGGCACUCCCAUCUGUGCUGGGUGAAGGAAGGCUUAGAAGGGAGCUCAGAAGUGAGUGGAUCUAGCUGCCUGUCAUAGACAUUUAUGCCACAGGAAAGGGUCACAGGAAAGAGAAUAGUCCAGAACAACCCAAUGGCAAAACUGAUGUCACCAUGAACAGAAACAGGGAGACUGAGGGAGAGGAAUGAUUUGGAGGGAAAAGACCAAGUUGGGUUUGGAGAUGCUAAGUUCGCUUAGGUACAGGGAUGGAGAGAAGUGGCUUAGAGGACGUGUGUGUGCAACCAAGUGAAGUAAUUCAGGGGAGGAGGAAGUUUGAAGAGGGGACGAGGACCAGAAGAGAGGAGAUAAGGGUGCUUGCAGCUGCAGACAGGGGGGUAGGUCAGGGACAUACACAUUCACCUUGAUUUUGUUACUAAAUUAGGAGUGAGGGGACGGGACUUCAGCAAUUUCUGAAAGAAUAUCUGGUGAACAGAUUAAGAGGCCAGCUGAUUUGUCUGAGGUUAUGUGUGUGACUGAGCAGGGAACUCUGAAUGAGAUCUUUUGCUUUCAUGGGACGCUGUGAUGGUGAGUCCUGGCGGGUGGAACCACACUGGCUUCCCUGGAACCCAUGCCCAUUAGAAAUGGCAUCAAAGGUUGGAUUGUUUCUAGGGUCCCAAAGGAAAAGGGUUGAAGUAUUCUUUUGUGGACCUGGAGGCAGGUGGUGAAGUGGGUGUUUACCCAGAACUGAUGGGUGCUGCAAAGCAGGUAGUAACAUCUUCAUUUUGUAGAUAUGGAAACUGAGCUCUGGGAAAGGAAGUGAUGGGCCCACAAUAGUGCAGCUGAUUAGUAUUAUGUUAGUAUCAGAGUUCAGAUCUGCCAGGCUUCAAAGCCUGUGGGAUUUUCCUGCUUUACCAUGUUGCUUUGUAGUUCUGUUUAAGAGCCCUGGAGU